rnacentral:rRNA from 1 species
GACGAACGCUGGCGGCGUGCUUAACACAUGCAAGUCGAACGGAAAGGCCCUGCUUUUGUGGGGUGCUCGAUUGGCGAACGGGUGAGUAACACGUGAGUAACCUGCCCUUGACUUUGGGAUAACUUCAGGAAACUGGGGCUAAUACCGGAUAGGAGCUCCUGCUGCAUGGUGGGGGUUGGAAAGUUUCGGCGGUUGGGGAUGGACUCGCGGCUUAUCAGCUUGUUGGUGGGGUAGUGGAUUACCAAGGCUUUGACGGGUAGCCGGCCUGAGAGGGUGACCGGCCACAUUGGGACUGAGAGACGGCGCAGACUCGUACGGGAGGCAGCAGUGGGGAGUAUUGCACAAUGGGAGGACGCCUGAUGCAGCAGCGCCGCGUGCGGGAUGACGGCCUUCGGGUUGUAAACCGCUUUCGCCUGUGACGAAGCGUGAGUGACGGUAAUGAGUAAAGAAGCACCGGCUAACUACGUG